GAGAGAGGCCUGAUGGCAAUAAGGAUUGCUAACCCCCUAUCACCACGGUUUGACUCCGAGGCUCACUCG
rnacentral:tRNA from 1 species